AUGCUAACUUCUCUGUCCAAGGUUACGAUUGCACUCUACGUGCUUUACAAGUCAUGGUCGGCAGAUGACAAGAGGUUGUUGGCUGCAACAAUUCUGCUCUUCGUCCUAGUGAUUAUCAGAUCCUUCCAGAAGGCACUAGAUCUUAAGAAGAGCAGCUUUGAUGCCCUGCGGCAGGCCAGCUUGUCCGAGGAGCACGUCAUUCGGGGCAGCGCUGUCACGGAAGAAGAAAGUCUUGCCAAAUUUAUAAGUGACGCAAAAAUAUUCAUGGAUGGGAGUUUAGAGCGGAGAUCAUGGGAAGAAUACCAACAAGACCUCCCAAGGCUAUCGUACCAGCUCUUUUUAGACUUCCCAAGUCCCUAUGCUGAUCGUCUGAAAAUCUUGAAGAAAUUCUGGCCGCUCGACCGCAGAUCUGCUUAUCAAGCAAUACAGCGCGCGCUGCGUGCUAUGACCAGCUUCCUCUAUACCAAAGAUGACAGCGCGCUCUUAGCUAUGAUCAGCUUCGUCUGCACCAGGAGUUAUCACCGACCACAUGUUGAUUUCAAGAGUACGCUCUCAGCUAUCACCAGCUUCCUCCGCAACAUUAAUUAUCGCGCACCCCAUCUUGAUUUCAAGAAAGCUGUAGCAUCAUUCAACUGCCGUCGGUGGACGCAGGCACUAGCUUAUGCAACGCUAGUUGCAGCCAUCUGCCUGGUGCACACGAGUAGCCACAGCAAAGCUCAUAGCAGUGAAGAUACCCGGGUUACACUUGUGCUCUUUUACGGUGCUCUCGUGCUGGAGCUGAUUUACUUCUGCGUACAAGCAGUUAUCCCGGACGGCUUCUCCGGCGUAAUUCUCCAACACAGUAUUAUUGGACAAUUAGCCAAUAACAGAUGGCGCCCCAACAUGUUGAUGUUGAGGAGGGUUGCCGAAAGGUUUGAAUGGGAGGAUUUGGUGGACCAAUACUUUACCUACAUGAAAUCUAGCGAUUCGUGUGAGGAGAUAACAGAAUUGGUCCGCCAGCAUGUUGAAUCGGGGUGGAAGUACAUACAUGACAAUGAGACUUACAGGAGGUUUAAUGAUGCCAGGGGCGAAUGGACGCUCGCCCGUAAGAAAUAUCUCCUGAAACUGGGUUGGAGCAUAAAGAGGCCAUUUGAUGAGACCAUUAUUCUCUGGCACCUCGCCACAGAUUUGUGCUUCCAGCAUAUGACCAGGUCUCCUGAUGAUCGUCAUUGUGCCAGCCGCUGCAAAGUAAUAUCCAACUACAUGAUGCAUCUCUUGGUAGCUAAUCCUGAGAUGCUAAUGCCAGGCAGCAGAAAGAGCUUGUUCAAAAAGGCCUACGACAAGCUCAAGCACAUCCUCAAGGACAUCCACACCAAAUCCCGGAACGAGAUGGAGUUUAUACGAGGACUAAUUGACAAAUGCCACGAAGGUUCUGCUCCUGCCUCUUUUAUUCACGAUGCUUGGGAGCUCGCUGAAUUCUUGUCGGGUGAUGAACUUGAUGGUAAUGAUCUUGCUCAAGUCACCGGGAGGUGGGAGGUGAUCCAAGGUGUGUGGGUGGAGAUGCUCUGUUUUUCUGCGGGACGGUGCCGGGGAUACUUGCACGCGCAGACUCUGGGAGGUGGUGUGGAGUUCCUCUCCUAUGUCUGGGUCCUGCUGACAUACGCCGGGAUGGAGACAUUUCCGGAGAAGCUUCAGAGGAGGGAGGGUCAGACGGUUGACGGCGAGUCUUCUCUUCAUGGCGGAAGAGAAGAUCCCGCUGCUACUACUACAUCUGCUUUAGAAAUUGAAGACUGGGCGCAUGCCGCCCUUGACGUGUGA
rnacentral:rRNA from 1 species